CACGUAGGGGACGAGCGUUGUCCGGAUUCAUUGGGCGUAAAGCGCACGUAGGCGGCUUUGUAAGUUAGAGGUGAAAGCCCGGAGCUCAACUCCGGAAUUGCCUUUAAGACUGCAUCGCUAGAAUUGUGGAGAGGUGAGUGGAAUUCCGAGUGUAGAGGUGAAAUUCGUAGAUAUUCGGAAGAACACCAGUGGCGAAGGCGACUCACUGGACACAUAUUGACGCUGAGGUGCGAAAGCGUGGGGAGCAAACAGG
rnacentral:rRNA from 1 species